rnacentral:rRNA from 1 species
UACGGGGGGGCAAGCGUUGUUCGGAAUUAUCUGGGCGUAAAGGGCGCGUAGGCGGACAGUUUAGUCAGAGGUGAAAGCCCGGAGCUCAACUCCGGAAUUGCCUUUAAGACUGCAUCGCUAGAAUCAUGGAGAGGUGAGUGGAAUUCCGAGUGUAGAGGUGAAAUUCGUAGAUAUUCGGAAGAACACCAGUGGCGAAGGCGACUCACUGGACAUGUAUGACGCUG